UCUGGUUAUGUGGUUAUAGGCUUUCUUGUCUUGGUUUAGGCUAUUUAAAUAUGUAAUAGCUUGUGGGGGUAUAAACAAAGAGUCUUUUGGUGCUUUUAGUAUAUAUGGGUUAUCAAAUAUUUUGUUUAGGUUCAUAGUUGGGUUCCUUCUAACUCCUUUUCUUGUACCUGCAGAAGUAGAUUGAUAAACAUUAUGGAUUUUUUGGAGUGUCCCAACGUCUUCUUUUAUCUCUGGAAUUUUAUUGUCUUCAGAUCGACAUAGCUCAGCAC
rnacentral:lncRNA from 1 species